rnacentral:rRNA from 1 species
GCCUACACAUGCAAGUCGAGGGGCAGCACAGAAAUAGCUUGCUAUUUGGGUGGCGACCGGCGCACGGGUGCGUAACGCGUAUGCAACCUACCUUAUACUGGGGUAUAGCCCGGAGAAAUUCGGAUUAAUCCCCCAUGGUAUUAUAGAUUGGCAUCGGUUUAUAGUUAAAGUAACAACGGUAUAAGAUGGGCAUGCGUCCUAUUAGCUAGAUGGUGAGGUAACGGCUCACCAUGGCUACGAUAGGUAGGGGGCCUGAGAGGGUAGUCCCCCACACUGGUACUGAGACACGGAACCANACUNNUACGGGAGGCAGCAGUGAGGAAUAUUGGUCAAUGGGCGCAAGCCUGAACCAGCCAUGCCGCGUGAAGGAAGAAGGUUCUAUGGAUUGUAAACUUCUUUUAUUUAGGAAUAAACCUCCCGACGUGUCGGGAGCUGAAGGUACUAAAUGAAUAAGCACCGGCUAACUCCGUGCCAGCAGCCGCGGGUAAUACGGAGGGUGCAAGCGUUAUCCGGAAUCAUUGGGUUUAAAGGGUCCGCAGGCGGNAUUUAUAAGUCAGUGGUGAAAUCCUGCAGCUCACUGCAGAACUGCCAUUGAUACUGUAAGUCUUGGAAUUUGAUCGGAGUGGGCGGAAUGUGUAGUGUAGCGGUGAAAUGCAUAGAU